UGUUUCUCUCUGGAUAUAAGGAGAGAGAAGGAGUGGAGGGCAGAGAGGAAGAAGAGGGAGGCUAUGAAAUCCCAUAAUGGAGUAACAAAUGCUUGACAUUUUAGUGGAUAUUGGACCUGGAAGCCUACAUGAAUGAAGGAAGCAAACCUGAGAUCCCUGAUGUUUGUAGAUGGAAGAUAAGUUGUUGCACUGCACUACUUUGUUGCUACUUGUGAGAGUCACUGCCAGCCACUCUUCUCAGGUAGGGCUGCAUUUGUGGAGAUUUUUGUUGACCUUUAUUGAAAAACAUCCCAGUACAAGGUUUGCAACUUAGAAGAACUGUGGUUCAGUGACAGGGUGUUAAAGGGAGCAACGACAGAGGAGAUAGCACAAGUAGUACCAAAUAGCUCAGUAUUUUGUUUUUAAUAGGAUGGAUGGGCCAGAGACAGUAAGCAGAAUGGCUCCAGGCAACCCCAAACACCAGAUAUGACAUAAAGAAACAGUACAAUGAAAGGUCAAUGCUUCUAGCUAUUAUUUGUCAUUCCCCAGAGCGUGAUGGAAUAUCUAAAAUAAAAAGAAGAGCUGCUUUGGAGAAGGAUUAUAAAAGAUUCUUUCAUAGAAGCGAUUUAGAAGAGGGGAAAAUUCCAAUUACGUAAGAUGGAUAUUACAGCUUUUAAAGACGUCUAUUCUCUACAUGGGUCAUGGAGAUUGAUACCAGUAUCAGCUUGUGGCUGACUAGAGCAGUUUAACUUAGAGGUUUCAUGCUUUUGGAGAGAUGCUACCAAUCUCUGUCACUUUGACAGGUGUUCAUCUGCAAUGAGUCCAGUACCUGAAGGAGCAGGAGGACAACAAGCAUCCAGGGAACAAAAGUAUAGCCUUCUAAGUGAAGAUAGCAACUGAAAAGAUCGUGGGCUUGGCUGGAUUAGGCUGGUCUUGUUUGUUUUUUCAAAAUAAGAAACUUUUUUUCUUGAUGAUAAAAGUAACAACUAAUUGGUAAAAAAUUAAGUGAAAGGUAUAAAUUAAAAAUUAAAGAAUACCUAUAAUCUUAUAACCCAGAAAACAGUAACUCAGAACGUUAGAGUGUUUCCUUUUACACUUUUAUAAAAAAUGUGUAUAACAAAAUUUAAAAACAAAAUUGACUUCAUAUUGUAUAUGUUCUUCAACUUUUUUCAUUUGAAAAUAACCAAGCAUAUUUCCAUGUCAUUGGCAUUCUUUGAAAACACAAUAUUAGGUGUUACAUAGUAUUUCAUAUGGAUCUAACAAAAUUUAUUUAGAUGAUCCCAUGCUGCUGGACAUUUUGGGUAUUACCAGUUUUGCCUAUAAAAUUAAAAUGUAAUGAACAUCAUUGUACAUUAAUCUUUAUGUGCAUCUCUAAUGUUUUCUUCAGAAUAAAUUUGUGUAAUUAGAAUUACUGAGUUUGAAUGAUGAGAGCAUUAUUAGGGUACCUGGACAGUUCUUGAAUUGUCCUCAAUAUAAUUGUACAAAUUACAUUCCCAUCAGUGGUAUAUAAAUGUGUAUAUUUUUACGCACAUUCAUCAAAA